UUUCACCCAAACCACUCCCCCAAUCAGUGGCGUCCUCUCGUCCCCAAUCCGCCGCCCUCCUCUCCUCACCCAAUCUCCACCUCGUGUCCCCUCUCCUCUUCUCCUUCCCCAAUCCAAUGACGGCAGAGGUGGGCGGACUUGGCGAGCGGUAGGAGCGGAAGCAACUUGCGGCGCAUCUGGAGGAACUCCGGGUGCUCUGAUGGCGGCGGCGGUCGGACUGGACUGUGGCGGCAGCGAGCAGACGGGAACGGCUGGUCGUCUCGUGGACGGCGGCGGUGGACUGCCGAUGGCUGCAGCGGAUCGCAUCCCCAACCCUAGCAGGCGGUCCUCCUCUAGAUCCCGACCCGAACCCAACCCAGGCCAGGAGCGCGGUGGCGGCGGCGACUACCCCGACCCAAAGCGCGGCAGCGGCGGCCACGUGCGGCCGCUUGUCGUCAGCGGCGGCGACUAGGGUUGCUGGCCUCAAAACCCUAGCCGCUGCCUUUGCCUCGUCGUCCCUGUUCUCCUCGAGGAGGAGCUGGUCUGGAGGCGCUCAAGGAGCUCGAGCUCCGCCGUGCGUCCCCGGCUCCAUGGAGACCAGCAGAAGCGGCGCUCGACUGCAGCUCUGCCCCGACCCCGAUCCAGGGCAGCCCGGAAAGCCCCACGGCCUCCUCUACUGGAGUAGGCCGACGCCCAUGAGCAGCGUGGGUUAGGGACCUCGACGUUGGCCUCUACAUCGAGCAGGCGACCUCGACAUCUAGCAGCGAGCACCGGUUCCGAUCAGUCAGGACUAGAUGCGAUGCAUCUGCCGUCUCUGUUGCCCAGCCGGGUGCCAAAUGGCUCCACGGGGCAGCAUUUUGUGAGGUGACGUUGAUGCUUGCCCUUCUCUUGGAGAAUACUUGAUAAUUUCCUAAUCCCCUAAACAUGCCUUGGCAUUGGAUGGAUCAAGGAGCAGGUUACAGUUUAUGUUUUUGGUCAAAGUUUCCUCUAUUUUUCUGCUCUUAGCCUCUAUUACAGUCUGUUCUAUCUUGCUACACAUUGGAUCCUGCUGCAGUUGUAUUUACUAUUUACUAUUAUAUAAAAAUCAGCCAUGUGCAAGCAACGGAGCUUAAUUUGUACAGUUGGCCAUAUCGACUACUGAGAAGGCUCAGUUGGUGUUGGAUGUGAUGUCUUGGUGGGAUAUGUUUUUCUAUUGGAUGCCUACAGUAACUACAGGAUGCAAGAAGAACUUUGCAGGCAGUCCGGGGACUCUAUCACAAGUUGCUCAAUGUAACCUUCGCAAUGGGCGGUGGCUGCAGCACGGUGAAACAAUUCGGGUCCACUCUCUCGAGUGGCUCGACGUGUCCUUCGCAAUCAGUGGAAGCUGCUGCAUGCCAAAAAGAAGACAAGGUCAAGUGGAACUGACUCUGGCGAGGAGUAUAUGUGAAAGAUAGACUUGACUUUACAUUAGGCCAUUGAUCAAAUAACAUCUUCGUUUGGGAGGGGAGCAAUAAUGUGGCUUGGCUGCUCUGAAAGUCACAGAGAAGUACCUGGUGUGUCUACUGGGUCUUUCUCUCUGGAUCUUGCACUAGGGAUCAGUAGGCUUCCAAAGGUAGCAUGCCAUUACUCUUUGGAGGGACGUGUUUUAGAUGUGUAUGGUCCAGAGGCUUCAGGGAAGACAACUCUUGCUUCAGUGGACAACUCUUGCAUUCUUUUCACAAAACAAUCUAAUAUUGAAUGUUGCCUUUUAGAAAUCUGGAAUUUAGUUGGUUACAGAUUUAUAUACUAUUAGUAAACCUUGCUGGCGAGUUAGAUAUAGGCUCAUUUAGGUUUUUUUUUGUCCUUGUACUUGCUUGACAGAAGUAAAAUUUUCUGAUAUGGUCGACUGAAGUUGCCUACUGAUGUUUUUGGUCCAAGAAGAAGGGGUAGAUGCAAAUGCAUUACCUUGACCACAAAGCAACAUUGCAAAAUGCUAAAUGCUAAUACGAUAAUUAUUAUUUUUUCCUUUACUGAUACAAUAUAGGAUCCUUAAAGCAAGUGCAUCAUUUUUACUUAAACACAUUCCACAAAUUUACUGCUCGAAGAGCCCAUCUUAAAGGUCUUGUACAUGAACACUCCAGGUUAGUAGAUAAUGACAUUUCAAUUUUCGAAACUUUGUUUGCGCAAUAGUUUUUAAUGUGAUGUGUCUAAGGAGGAACAAAAUUUUAAAUGAUCUGGUCUCGAUUAUAUAACCAUUUAGACGCUUCACUCUAUGAUUUUAACCCUACAAGUUUGAGUGCUAUUUACCUCUCUGCAGAACUCUUUCAAAAAAUUUAACCCCACAAGUUUCAGUAAUACUCACCUCACUGCAGAACUAUUUUUUCUUGUAAGAACUUCUGAAUUUGUUCUCGGUAAUCUACCUUCUAUUUUUCUUGAUACACCUAGGUGUUACUUGAAUUCUUCAGAUUUUAUAGAGGUCAUUAUAGAGGGUACGAUAUCAUAUGGUUUCAAAAUUGUUCCACAUUUAGUUAUUUUCGCAACCCAGAGAAGGUUUUCAAUAUAAAUGAAUAAUUAAGUAGAUCCCUGGCUAUGCUUUGGUGGACUCCAGAGGCAAACAUGUACCUCAGAUAGGUGAAUGGCCGUUCGAGGGGUUUUGAAUACCUGAGCAUUACAACAUGAUAUUGUGAUUAGUAGUGGAAGGAGUGCAGAAGCUUAUUAUAAUGCUACCGUUUAGAUAAUUAUAACCAUGCUAUUCUGCAGAUAUAAGGUUCUAUCUCUGUUCGCAAUGCAUUAUAUUAUUCAUUUGUGCCAUGUUGGUAUCCCUUAGAUAGUUCCCAAUGCUCAUUUCCGCGGGCACUGUCUGUCAAUGAACGCCUCAUAUCUCACAUUUUCCGAAGAAGUUAACUUGUGGUUUGUUCCAGGGGUCCCCUAUAUUCUAUUUCUAUUUGGUAUGCCUUCUAGCGUUCAUAUGCUCCAUUACAAUUGCCUCUUAUAAAACAUUGUGAUUCUUUUUGGCUACCAUAGGUAUCGUCCCCUUUUCUUUCUCUUUAUCUCUAGAUGUUUAGAUGGAUUCGUGUUGAUCUGAGAUGUUACCUUGUGGUAUUGUUCUUCCCUUUUUAUCCCAGGACGUGAUUCUAUCCUCCCCUUCUCUUUCUCUUUAUUUCUAGAUUUUUAGAUGGAUUCUUCUUGAUCUGAGAUGUUUACUUUCUUCCCUUCUAAUACUAGGAUGUGAUUCGUUUUGCUAAGAUGAGUUGGCAGCACUUUAAUGGACCUGGCCGUUGAUUUACGAUGUUAUAUUGGCUCAUAUGUUUCAAAUUUGCUAAUGUUUUUUUCUCUACUUGACGUCUUGAAUGCUUUACACAUGUUGAGGUUUUACUUUGAAGAUUUGGGUUUGGGUGGCCCAAGAUUUCUACGAUGUUGUUGGUAACGACCAACAUCGGUACAAGAGGAUUUAGUGCUUAUCUCUUCUGUAGGAUAAUUGUUCACUCCAGUUAUGAAGUUUCCAUAUUUAGAGGGCUGACUCAUGGUGCUGGAUGCCACUUUUGUUUAUAUCAUUUGCCUCAUCGUCAUUUCUGAAGUUAGAUGUGUUAGCUAUCACCACCAGUACAAUUGGCAUGGUGGCUGCAGAAUCAAGGGCCAUAAGGGAGCCUCGUGUUGUUCAGAAGACAACCAAGGUUGGCAUCUUUUUAAUUCUUAUCGUUGGUGCAAGUAAGGUCAGAAGGAUGCUAAAGGAAAUCCAAAUCCAAGUAGGCAAGCAUGUGGAAAGGGCGUCAUAUGAUGUGAACUAUGUUAUCAUGACAAAGAGGGAAGGGCACAACCAUGAAGUUCGAGCAGCCAGAAAUAGCGGGCAUGUGAGCGAUGGUUCUGGGAGUGCUCUCAGAGGCCAACUGGAGUCAUUCAACUUCCUCUUCAGGAAUGGCAGACUACGAUCUGCCUUCCCACCUGCAAAUGCAGCAUGGCCAGCUAACCGAUUGAUGAUUUGGUAUAUUACGAGUUAGGCCCAGUUUAUCACUUUCUUCCAGUUUAUGGCCUCUUUGUGAUGCCUUUUUCCUUUGCCUGCUAUAAUUUAUGUGUUAAUACUCUACUGGUUCAUUAUACUCCAAUCUAGAGGUUUUCCAAUACUGCGAUGGAGUUCAUUUUCAGAAUCUUGUUAUGUUAAGGAAAAACAAUGUAGUUUACACAGUUCAGAAAUUCUCAAUUUGCAUAAAAUAUAUUAUGUGUUACUUGCGAAA